GUGGUGCCGGCCCAGCGGACGCGGGGACGCAGAUCCGCCGUUCUGACCUCCGUCUCCGCCGAGGCCCAGACCAUGGCAUUCGCCGCCCCCUGAUCCGGGACGCCGACAUGCAGAGCAACAGGAGGAGGGGCGAGGCAUCCUAGCUGUAGUCCCGUCGGUCCAGCACCUUCUCCCUCACAUCCCUUGCAGCUACCUUGGAGGGGCAACAGUAUUCAGACAGAAAGAUUGAGCGGCGGGAGGAGCUAGCUGAGUGCUGACGGUUGGCGAACAUGUUCCACAUGCCUUGCUGCUCAGGCAUUCCUGCUGCCCGGGACCAAGACGACGACCCAAGCUUGAUGCUGCUGCAUGUCUUUAUUGAGUGCAGUUCUGCCAUAGUGAGCUCAGGGCGUCUUUGAAGGCGAGGAUGGGGUGCAGGAACAACGACUUGCUCCACCUGGACAACGCUACUGAUGCUACUGGUGACCACUCCAACCGGCCACCACCCUGAGCUGCUGCUGCUGCUGGGACAAAGACGGCGGGAGGAGCUGUGCCUCUUGCCGGUGGCUUGCGCCCACAGCCAUGCUCUUGCUCGCAGCGGCCCCGGACCAAGACCGGCGGUGUCGAC